UACGAAGGGGGCUAGCGUUGUUCGGAAUUACUGGGCGUAAAGCGCACGUAGGCGGGUUUGUAAGUAGGGGGUGAAAUCCCAGGGCUCAACCCUGGAACUGCCUUCUAAACUGCAAGCCUGGAGGUCAGGAGAGGCGAGUGGAAUACCGAGUGUAGAGGUGAAAUUCGUAGAUAUUCGGUGGAACACCAGUGGCGAAGGCGACUCGCUGGACUGAUACUGACGCUGAGGUGCGAAAGCGUGGGGAGCGAACAGG
rnacentral:rRNA from 1 species